AUCAGCAAGCUCAACGACGACUGAAAAAGAAUAAAGUUAGGCGACAGCUUUUUAUUCCUAGAUUUGCAAUGCAUAAACGCAGUCGGGGAGUCCUGUGGUGGAGAUGCAACUCAUCUGGUAAAUACAAGGCAACUUUGGUCAGAGCAAGGUCAAGGUUCCUAACCCAAAAGGAAAGGAAGACACGUCAAAAGAAGCGGGGGAACAAAAAGAAAAGAAAAGUGACAUCGGUUUGCUUAAACAGAACUGUAGUAACUGGACAACGGCCAAGUCGUAAAGCAUCGCACAGGUCAGUAAAAGAUCAGUUCUCUGACUGUCUUGAGAGCAAUGCCACCUGUUCUGUUAACCGAACUCAGGAACUUGUGGAUGCACACAAAGAGCAGAAUCUCAGUUCCAAAGCCUGGAGUCCUGAAACUCUAAAAGAGUGCCGGGUGUUUCUGAGAAAGAUCAACUCUCCGGAUAGCGAGUCAGCUGAGGAGUGGGACUCCUGUACUGUGACACUGGAUGAUGGGUCACCUUCUGCAUACCUCUUUGCUGGGAAGGAGAGAGAACUGGUACAAGUUGUUGAAGCUGUGAAAAGUGAAAGAAAAAGGAGCACAAGUAACACAAGGCAGCAGACGGAUUCUGUAGUGAAAUCAGUGCAGAAGCAGGAUGCGGUGCCAGCGGGGAGGCAGAGGUGUAAAAGAAGCCCUGGGGUUGUAUCUACUGAACUACCACAACCACCACCAGCGAAAAAGUUGAGACAAUCGCGAAUGAGGGGCCUGACAGGACCGAGAUGGUGCGACUUUGUGUUUGAAAACUAAAUUAAGCACGAGGCCUCCUCCCUGGGAAAGGGACUGUGGUUGAACGCGGUGCCUUCAGACGUUGAGCUGACCACUUGGACUGACCAUCCCGCUUAGGGUCAGUCUUACACUCAGCAGUCAUGUAGCAGUCUAACUUAAAAGCUUGAUGUUGCACUAUUUUUAUCCGUUGAUACAUAUUUACUUUUUUUUUUCUUGGUCAACUUGCCUUUGUCUUUCUGUAGGAGUAGAACUCAUUUCAUCAAGGAGAGUUUUAAUGGGAGAAGUGCUUGUAAAGUGAGCUCUGUAAGAGUAGCUGUAAGGAAGGACGGCGCUCUCCUGCAUUAUCACAGUGCCACCUGAAUACACCCCCCACCUAUGAAGUUCAACUAAGCUUAAAGAAAAUCUUAAUCUAAAUUUGGUUGUUUUUCUACUUUAAGGCACUCCUGCUUAAAACCUACAAAAUUUGUCCAUUUUUAUUUAUUAAAAAUCUUACUUUAGCGCAUUUGAAAUUCUGAAUAAUUGAAUAAUUUGGUUUAAUAUUAUAGGUUAGUUAAAAUAAUACUAAAAUUUUUAAACAGUUUUAAUCUGAGCCUUUUUUGUUUUUGUUUUUGGCAACCCAGUACAUAUCUAGUAAUGAAGGAUUUUUUUUUAAGGCCAUCUUAACUCCUGUGUGUGCGCGUGUGUGUGUGUGUUUGGGCUCCAACUAUAUACUUACAUGUACUUCAGUAAUUGGCCAUAGUCCCCUACUACAGCUAAAUAUUUUGAGUAAUUUUCUUUUAACAUAUUUUACAUUUGCAAAUCUUGGUUCCAAAUGCUGAUCCCAAUGGUUACAUAUUCACGUCCACAAAACACAGGUGGUGUGUGUGUGUGUGAAUAAAGAAAGUGGCAUUAUGCAGUUGUAGAAGGAAAAUUAAGCUUUAUUUGUUGGUUGGUGGGAUCUGUCUGAUUUUUGCUCAACUAUCUGUAUGCAUCUCAUUUACCCACAGCAUUUACUGUAUGUCGCUGCCAGAUGUACCUCUUGCACUAUUCCAUUUGAGAUUAUUAAUCCCACUACACAGUUUACUCCUAUAUUUUGCACAUCCUGUGUCCCACUACCAACCCCUACUGUAAAUCUAGAAUCUCUUUGGUGCAAUACAAACCCAGAUGAUUUAUCAUAAUGUAGAAAUUAUUUUAUUGUUGACAGACGAAUGGAUGUACACGAGAAUCAGUGACCAGGUGUGUUAACUUCAUCUGUUUCCACAGCCAUGUUGUGAUGUUCUGAGAUUUAAACCCAUUAAGACCGAAGGCGCCUUGUAGGCUCAGGCAUAACGUUGGUUAGAGGGUACUACCGGUUUUCUCACCUGCUUUUUUUUUUCUCCUUAAAGAAGCAAAAAAAUAAGUCAUAGCAUUUAUAAAAAAAAGAGAGAUCAUAUUAGCAUUAUUUAGUUUAAAUAAAGGUAGAUUGUGUGUUAGUUUCCUUGGAGUGUUUUUUUUUUCCUUUCUUUGUUGUCUCUCCCUUUAAGUUGCAGCAGAAGAUGCCUACCUCCACUGGGACUCUGCUAAGUCUACUGCUCCUUUGCUUAUCAGCUGUGUCACAAACAAGGCCAGAGUUUUUUAAGAAACACUAAUUUGGAUUAUUAUGUUUUCCUGCCAUGUAUUAGACACCUGGUAGAUCCAAAAUAUCUGUGUUUAGGUCAGAAAUGUACCCCGUAGAAAGUUUCUGCCUGACUACCCUUGUAUAUAUGUAUGUCACUAUGGUUGCCAUGUAAACAUAAAUAAGUUGGAGAGGUUCAGUCAUGUCAGAAAUAACCAUCGGCCCUUUGUUUUUUGAAGAACCUGGUGCUAAAAAUCUGUUGUAUAUUUUCUUUAUCAUGUUUUUAUACCGUUCAUUACAGAUGCAACAGAAGUGUGACUGGAUCAAUAAAGUCUUUUCAAGUAAA